UAAAUCGCGGGGUUGGAUUCCGAGUGUCGUGGUAAGAAACCGAAGACCUAUAAUUUCCGGAUCGCGGAUCGGAGGUCGUUUGGUGGUCGCGCGCGGAUUGGGUCAAGCCGAGCGGCGUGCGCCGCGGGAGGCCAAUUGCGAGUGACGACGAGCAAUCGGAAUGCGAUAAAAGGUGGGGGGUGUCCAUCUCGAAGCAACUGAGCUUUUUCCUAUGUCUUAGUGCUUUACCGAUUUGCAUAUAGCAUAUUGUAUAUUGUUAUGCAUUAUAUGGUGAUGAUACAUGCAUUCCUACUCCUUGUAUGAUGUCUAUGAUUAAUAUAGUAUUAUGAUAUGGAUACUUGAUGUAAUGGACAUAAGGAUUGGGGGAUGACAUUGGUAAACCUAUGAUGCUAAAUGAAAGAGGAAUCUAGUGUUGUAUCUAAAGACAUAGUUUACUAGAGGCAUUGGACUUAAUGUGAUAGAAACACAUAUAUCUUGAACUAAGUUUCGGAUUGGUUAUUGUACUAGAAACUCUAGUUAACAUUGAUCAAGUUGCAUAUUGGGAUAUUGCAUUAUAGGGUGCUAGAUGGCAAUUGUUAUAUGUCAUGGCAUGCUAGUGAUAGUGUAGUGUUGAUUGUUUAAUACUUGUACCUAGUAUGCAUGAGAUUGGGACAUAGUAUUGUGAAACCCUAUAAUGGCAUGAUUAAUGUGGAUUAAACUCUAGUUGAGUGACCACCUAGUGAGUAUAUGCAAGUAGUGUAUCGAGAACAUUAAACUAUGACGAGUGGCAUCUAGUUAAUGUUAACCCUUGACGAGUGGCAUAUGAGAACCUAGUGUAGUUGACACUUGGCAUUGAACAUAGGGAUUAGUUGAGUUCCCUAGUGUGGCAUAUUGCAUGAGAACCUAGUGUGGUUGGCACUUAUGAUAUUGAGUAUAGGGGAAAGGUGUAUUUCCCUAGUGGUGGCAUAUUGCAUGAGAAUUGAGUGUAGUUGACACUACGGCAUCGAACAUAGGGAUAGGUGAAUUCCCCAGUUGCGAUUUGGGUAGAGAACCUAAAGUGUGAUGUUGUUAACCCUAGAUGAUAGGGUGUUCCUAGUUGAUGACACUAUCCUGAGUUGAUAGGAUGUUCCCAGUUUAUGAGGAUUGGAUCGAGCUCACAUAGCCUGUCUGCACCUGUGGUGGUCGCUCCACACAGGUAGUGCACUCCGAAGUUUGUCACACGAGGGGGGCCAAUGUAGUUGCCCUUGGACUAUUGUAGCUGACCGCAGGCAGUCUCGGGGGUAGUCUAGCAGUGGGACUCCUUCCCUAUGAGACUUAAACACGUGAGACUGAAAGCGAGCCUCGGUUUAGCCGAGAGAUUGGGUGAUCUAAUGAAUAGCCUUAUUGAUGAACCUAGUUGUAUGGUAGUUAGCCUUUACUAUGAGUUACAUUGAUAUUGAGCAUAGUCGCUUGGUAGUUAGAUUAGUGGAUUUGCCUACAUACAGUGAGUGGACAUACUAUUCCUUCACCUAUGAGAUUAGAGCGGGGUAGCCCUGUACCUAGUAGGUCGAGAUCGAGUCAGGCGAGGAGCGGGGUAGCUCUUUGCCUAGGACCUUCGAGAUUGAGUCGGACCUUCGAGAUGUGAGUCGGGCUGUAAGGAAGUGAAUUCUCGAAAUACGAGGAUUGUACUUCAUCCAGGAUCGACUAAUUGUCGAAAGUAUACCCUUUGUGGGAGUUUAGAAUGUCCAAAGCACAAAAAGUGCCUUGGAGUUGAGUUCGCGAGAGCAAAUGAGCCAAACUGCAUCAUUGGGCUGAUGUUGCUCUCGGGGACCGGUCUCUGCAGGUGAGAGACCGAUUCCCCUGGCUGGGCGUAGCGGGGUUGCGUGAUGCAACCGGUCCCUGGAAGGGAGGGACCGGUUCCCGAACGUGGUCCCAGCGAGAUUUGCCAAAAAUUGGCUAAGUCCUGAAAAUCGAGCUCUCGGGGACCGGUCUCUCAGGAGAAGACCGAUCUCCCCAGGACCGGUCUCCCGGGGAGAGACCGGUUCCCGAACGCGU
rnacentral:lncRNA from 1 species